GUGGGGAAUCUUGCGCAAUGGGCGAAAGCCUGACGCAGCCAUGCCGCGUGGAUGAUGAAGGUCUUAGGAUUGUAAAAUCCUUUCACCGGUGAAGAUAAUGACUGUAGCCGGAGAAGAAGCCCCGGCUAACUUCGUGCCAGCAGCCGCGGUAAUACGAAGGGGGCUAGCGUUGCUCGGAUUUACUGGGCGUAAAGGGCGCGUAGGCGGACCUUUAAGUCAGGGGUGAAAUCCCGGGGCCCAACCUCGGAACUGCCUUUGAUACUGGGUGUCUUGAGUAUGAGAGAGGUGUGUGGAACUCCGAGUGUAGAGGUGAAAUUCGUAGAUAUUCGGAAGAACACCAGUGGCGAAGGCGACACACUGGCUCAUUACUGACGCUGAGGCGCGAAAGCGUGGGGAGCAAACAGGAUUAGAUACCCUGGUAGUCC
rnacentral:rRNA from 1 species